AAAUUUGAAAUCUGGCGCAAGCCCGAGUUGUAAUUUGUAGAGGAUGCUUCUGGGUAGCGACCGAUCUAAGUUCCUUGGAACAGGACGUCAUAGAGGGUGAGAAUCCCGUAUGUGACCGGCCCGCACCCUUUACGUAGCUCCUUCGACGAGUCGAGUUGUUUGGGAAUGCAGCUCUAAAUGGGAGGUAAAUUUCUUCUAAAGCUAAAUACCGGCCAGAGACCGAUAGCGCACAAGUAGAGUGAUCGAAAGAUGAAAAGUACUUUGGAAAGAGAGUUAAAAAGCACGUGAAAUUGUUGAAAGGGAAGCGCCUGCAACCAGACUUCGUGGCAGUGUUCCGCCGGUCUUCUGACCGGUUUAUUCUCUGUCGCGAGGCCAUCAUCGUCUGGGCCCGCCGGAUAAGACCUGAGGAAUGUAGCUCACCUUCGGGGGAGUGUUAUAGCCUCUGGUGAUGCGGCGAGGCUCGGGCGAGGUCCGCGCUUCGGCAAGGAUGAUGGCGUAAUGGUUGUCGGCGGCCCGUCUUGAAACACGGACCAAGGAGUCUAACAUCUAUGCGAGUGUUCGGGUGUCAAACCCCUACGCGUAAUGAAAGUGAACGGAGGUGGGAACCGCAAGGUGCACCAUCGACCGAUCCUGAUGUCCUCGGAUGGAUUUGAGUAAGAGCAUAGCUGUUGGGACCCGAAAGAUGGUGAACUAUGCCUGAAUAGGGUGAAGCCAGAGGAAACUCUGG
rnacentral:rRNA from 1 species